ACUCUUUGAAAACGUAAAAAAUCCCUCUAAUUUCACAGCCAAUCAGAAGUGAGGGAGACAAGCGAUCUGUGCUUUUGCACAGCGCGCCGUGUGUCGCCGUCACCUGCCGCUGCCAAGUAUCGUGCACCGUGUGUUGAAUUUAUCUCCUGUUGCUAUGACUUUCGCACUCCCCCCUCAACUGUUGCUUCCUGUGUGUCUUGCCCCUAACUGAUGAACACGGUUCUAAGUGAGCUGAGAACAGCAGAACGUUCUCAGUCCUGGACCUAUGGACUGGGUCCAUCUAUGUCUGCAUCAUGGCUCACCAUGGAGAAGACCUGAACAGAGGAAGAGAAAUAUCUGACUGAGAGACUCGACAAAGAUGGAAAAAGAUCAAGGAAGAUCAGUGAGCAAUUAAACGCCAGUGAAGCACAGAAUCAGCAGGAAUCAGGAGGUCAAGGAGGAGUCAUAGUACCACUAUUCAGGAGGCCUAGAAGGAGUCAUAGUAGCACUAAUCAGGAGGUCUAGAAGGAGUCAUAGUUCCACUAAUCAGGAGGUCUAGAAGGAGUCAUAGUAGCACUAAUCAGGAGGUCUAGAAGGAGUCAUAGUACCACUAAUCAGGAGGUCUAGAAGGAGUCAUAGUAGCACUAAUCAGGAGGUCUAGAAGGAGUCAUAGUAGCACUAAUCAGGAGGUCUAGAAGGAGUCAUAGUUCCACUAAUCAGGAGGUCUAGAAGGAGUCAUAGUAGCACUAAUCAGGAGGUCUAGAAGGAGUCAUAGUUCCACUAAUCAGGAGGUCUAGAAGGAGUCAUAGUUCCACUAAUCAGGAGGUCUAGAAGGAGUCAUAGUACCACUAAUCAGGAGGUCUAGAAGGAGUCAUAGUUCCACUAAUCAGAGCUCCUAAAAUGACUCCACAGACAGUGAACUACUUUCUCCA